CCAACCCCUUUCAGAGGCAACAAUCGAACAAACUACACCUCCUUUAGCGAAACGAGAAUGAAUGCAUGUGGACUGAACGAAGAGGAAUGCUCCGAAGCAGGCUACUAGCGGUUCAGAUUUGGUCCAGUCAUGUCCGUCUGUGGACAUUAACAUCAAGGCCAGGGUGGACUGAUCAAAUUUCAACUACUUUUUAACGUCCAUGAACGUCCGGUGUUGGUCGGCGCUCAGCAGCAGAUGCCAGGAAACUCACUCUGGCUGGGUCCAAAAUGGCACAUUAUUCCCUGUAUGUGAGGGGAUGUAAGGAACAAAGUAAAGGAACAUGAUGAUUCCACCUGCAGUGCUAACAAAAGGAGAAAGAAGCUAAUGGAAAAAACAAGGAUUUCAUCGUAGUUCCUCCUCAAUAAAUGUAUACACUGUUGUGCCUAUGUAACCAGCGACCCAUGAUGACCCCACAUAUGUUGGGUCAUGGGUCACAUGCAUAGGUAGGCACACAGGUGACCAUGCAGGAAGUGGGAAUUCACAGGUAUAUAGAGAGCAUACUGUAUAGUUCUUACCAUGGUUUAUACCUUGUAUCUAUGAUAUGCCUUUAUGGAAUUCUUGCAAUGCUUUUAUCUUCGCUGCAAACAAAUGAGAAAACAGACCCAACCAAAGAUCUACGUUUAGAAAGCAGGUUGAUUUGCAGUCGUUUAUGAACAUUUGCAAAUCCACCUGUGCUAUCAGGAAUUUACUACAAAAGGACACCUGUCAAGGAGAUUGGUUCAUGGACAUCAGAUAGAAUUGUUUUCCUGCAACAAAUUAAAAACUGCCACGAACUGAAUAUCUAACGAAGAACAGGAGGAAGGAAAACAAAUCUCCCACUCCAUAGCUUUCUCUGUUUUGAAACCGUGUCAUGUUCCCUACUGUAUUAUACUGCCACCAAUUGGUGGCAUUAUGGCAACACACAUCUCCACGUUGAAAGAUAUACCAGUUCAUGUUAUUUUUGACAGAUGACAUUUAUUUCCACACUGCAUAUGAAAUUAGAAACACUAAAAAGUCGGAAUUUGCGCGCAAUAUGUCCAGGAGGAAGAAAAACAGAUUCUUAUUUACAUAAAGAUGUGGUCAUAAAACCUAUGUCAUCCCAAUCUAGGGAUCCUGGGCUAGUCCACACAGAUUAGGUUGUGAUACUGUACUACUGUGUCUACAGUAUACGAUUGACAGGCACUGAUAAUAACACACACCUCUAUGUUUUGUUCCAUUCUGUUCAGCCCGUUCCUGAAUCAGAUUGGGGGAAUGGAAUAUGUGGGCACAGGAAAGCUCACUCAGAAAUGUUUUAUUCCUAAGUAUUACUGCACUGUUGGCGCUAGAAACACAAGCAUUUCGCUGCGCCUGCGAUAACAUCUGCAAAUCUGUGCACACGAUCAGUAAACUUUUGAGUUGAUUUAAGAUGGGGCAUACGCCUGUGCACAGGUAACCUCACUUUACCUGGGCUCUGAAAUGAUUGACGCAGGCCAUUGGAUACAAACAUGAAAUGGAAG